AGUCGAGCGAGCGGAACUAACAGAUUUACUUCGGUAAUGACGUUAGGAAAGCGAGCGGCGGAUGGGUGAGUAACACGUGGGGAACCUGCCCCAUAGUCUGGGAUACCACUUGGAAACAGGUGCUAAUACCGGAUAAGAAAGCAGAUCGCAUGAUCAGCUUUUAAAAGGCGGCGUAAGCUGUCGCUAUGGGAUGGCCCCGCGGUGCAUUAGCUAGUUGGUAAGGUAAAGGCUUACCAAGGCGAUGAUGCAUAGCCGAGUUGAGAGACUGAUCGGCCACAUUGGGACUGAGACACGGCCCAAACUCCUACGGGAGGCAGCAGUAGGGAAUCUUCCACAAUGGACGCAAGUCUGAUGGAGCAACGCCGCGUGAGUGAAGAAGGUUUUCGGAUCGUAAAGCUCUGUUGUUGGUGAAGAAGGAUAGAGGUAGUAACUGGCCUUUAUUUGACGGUAAUCAACCAGAAAGUCACGGCUAACUACGUGCCAGCAGCCGCGGUAAUACGUAGGUGGCAAGCGUUGUCCGGAUUUAUUGGGCGUAAAGCGAGCGCAGGCGGAAGAAUAAGUCUGAUGUGAAAGCCCUCGGCUUAACCGAGGAACUGCAUCGGAAACUGUUUUUCUUGAGUGCAGAAGAGGAGAGUGGAACUCCAUGUGUAGCGGUGGAAUGCGUAGAUAUAUGGAAGAACACCAGUGGCGAAGGCGGCUCUCUGGUCUGCAACUGACGCUGAGGCUCGAAAGCAUGGGUAGUGAACAGGAUUAGAUACCCUGGUAGUCCAUGCCGUANACGAUGAGUGCUAAGUGUUGGGAGGUUUCCGCCUCUCAGUGCUGCAGCUAACGCAUUAAGCACUCCGCCUGGG
rnacentral:rRNA from 1 species